UUUACAUUUGAUGAAAUCAUUAUGCAUUACUGAAGCUUUGUUAUGCACCUAGCUCUUUGCUUCUCUUGCCUACUAUCGUUUUCUACUAUUGAAAUACAACUUUAUACAUGUUUUAUAAACUUUUAAAACCCGCAGCAACGCGCGGGCUCUAUUACUAGUAUAUACUAAACGGCUAACUUUCUGUUUAAUUCCCUUUGUGUCCUUUUCACUGUUCCUUCGCCAGUGUUCUUCCAUUUUUGCCCCUCAGCUGCUCUUCAAGUCUAGCUUUUUUUGUGUUUUCCGCAGUAAAAUGACGGUUUUGGCCAUGGUUUCCACAUGGUUUCCAGUAGAAAUCUCUCGACUUCUGCCGAAAACACUUGAAACACAGAAUUCUCAGCUGCUCUGCAACGGGUUGGCGGUUUCGAUCAUGCAUCCUACACUCCGCCUUGCGAUCUCUUCCAUCUCUGCUUCCUGAUGCUUUCGAUCUCUCAUUCGUGAUCCCUUCAAUCUCUGCUUCCUCAUCUUUUUGGUCUCUGCUUUGCGAUCUCCUUGCCGCCUAAUCGUGCACCCAAUUUCUCUAGCCUUCAACAGUUGACGUGCUUUCCCACUCAUCGCCAAAAGAAACCCGUGCUUCCUCCCUCUUCGUCUUCUCCUCCAGCAAUUUGCGCUCUUAGUUCUCAAUAUGAUUCACAGUAAAAACCCAGAAACUUAGAGAGUAAAAACGUUGAAACUUAAAGUGCUCAAUCUAGAGAAUUGGUACUCAUAAUCAAUAAGAUUCAUACGGCUUAUUGGUAUCAAUUUUGGUUGCAGCAAUGCUAUUCUUGCUGAAGACCUGCCAUAAAUUCAAAGCGUGCAGAGAUCUCGAGUCAAAAACAGAGCAACUCUUGCACAGCGAAAUGACUCCCACCACCCAACAAACGCAACUGCUGCAAUUUCAAUUGCAGUUCUUGAAGAAAGAUCAUGGAGUGAGUUUCUCAUGCUGAGAUUGUAACCCAAUCAAUAAUUGUAUUCACAACUGUCCAAGACACUCUCUGGAAUUUAUUACAACAAAAGGUCAAAUUUUCCUUCCUUGGAAACUCCUCAAGCUAGGAACAAGUCUGGUAUCCAAGCUUUACAUUCAACUUUAUUUAGCAUGUAGCAAGCUUUGUUUGACUGGUGUACUCUCAAUGCUGGAUUUGUAAGUUAUGCAGUUAUCAUUAGUCCAACUUUUUGAAUGAACAAUUAUCUUCUUCUAUGCACUUUGAAGGAAUAGAUUUUUCUCUUGGUAUCCGUUCAUGAUAAGACAUAUAAAUUGCAUUGUCAUUCGUAAUUCUCUGUUUUCACUCAACAUUAUUUAUGAAAUUUGAAGCUAUAAAAUAUCUCAUAUAAUUUUAAAUCCCGCAGCACCGUGCGGGUACAAAUUUCUAGUUCACUUCUAGACGGCUAAAGUUUGAACCUCGUUUUUGCAUAAUCUCUAUUUUUCGAAAGCCAACACACAUAUUUUAAGUCACCACUAGCAGUUGAAUCUGGUCUACCUCAGGUCUUCCAAUGAGUUUGAUGUAUAAGUUCACAAUUUCCUCAACAUUCACACGACCACCAAUACUAUACUUGAAAAGUCAGCAUCAAGUGUAAUAAACAAUUAGUUGGAAAUUCGAAAAAAAAUUCAACCAAUUGCAUUAUAAUACUUAUAUACCCGACUGUAUUUAGAACAUAAUAAAAAAUUUCUCGAAGAGUUGAAACUAAGAAAUUUGUUUUUUGCGUAUAUAUAAUAAAAAUGCAAAAAAAAUGUCCAUAAAUAUUUGAAUUACAAGCAUUUCUAGUUUUUAUUUUUUAUUUUGCUACAUAAAAGUUAGACAAAAUGAAAUACCGAUUUUUCUUUUUUUGUUUUUUAUGCAACCAUCAUUUAGAAAGGGAAUAAUUAAAUUUUGGGUUCUCAAGUAUAGGACGAAUACUCUUAAUUAAUUAGGCUACGUGAUUUGGCUUGCAACAUUAUAAUAUGUUCUUCACUAACACUAACAGACAUGUAAUCAAUCAUAUCCCUACCUACAUGUUGGCGUAUAUAAAUCACUAUAUUAUAUAAAAUAAUCAAGUGGUGCCUGCACUGCGUACAAGCUCAUAUAUUAGAGCACAAAACUCUUCCCAAUGCCAAACCAGCUUAAUUAGGCAGAUGGUUCUUGAGCCAUCUCCUUGUCUCCAGAAAUGAAGAUUUCCUCACAACCUAAAAUCAUGGCAUCCCAAGAAGAAAAAGCACUUUCCACCAAAGCUGCUUCUUCACAGCAUUCAUUUCAACUCCUCCCAGUUAUACUCCUUAUGUUGGCUUCUUCAGAUUCAGCAGCAAAAGCAGAAGUUGCUGGACAAAAAGCAGAAGCAGCUCUUCUGAAUUGGAAAGCUAGCCUUGACAACAAUACAAGCCUCGCUUUCCUGGAUCGGAAACAGUAAUUGCAAUUGGGAUGGAAUUUCUUGCAACGGUUUUGGAAGCAUAACACAAAUAAACCUCACUACUUCUGGCUUAGGAGGUACACUUCAUGCUUUUAAUUUCUCAUCUUUCCCAAGUCUCAUGAGCCUAAACUUAAGCCACAACGCGAUUUUUGGAAUCAUCCCAUCGGAGAUAGAGUUUCGGAAAAGCCUUCAAAUCCUUGAUCUUUCUGGAAACAACAUCAAUGGGUCCAUUCCACAUGAAGUUCGAAUGUUAGGCAACUUAACCAUUCUAUUCCUUCAAGCCAACACUCUCUCUGGAAACCUCCCUACAGAAAUAUGCCUGUUGAAUUCACUCAGUGUGAUCGAUGUAGCGGAUAACAGUCUCACAGGUUCGAUUCCAGAAGCAAUCGGAAACCUGUCCAGCUUAACCGUUCUGUCCCUUUCUCGCAACAAUUUCUCCAGCUCAAUUCCUUCCACUAUAGGCAACCUGAUUAGCCUCAAGGAGUUGUAUCUGAUUGGCAACCAAUUAACUGGAAAUAUCCCACCUGAAGUUGGAAAGCUCAAAUUUCUUACUCACCUGGAGUUGGUGAAUAACAAACUCAAUGGCUCUGUUCCUUCAGAAAUGAAUAAUUUUACAUUUUUGAGUGGUUGGCAUUGAGCAACAACAACUUUUCUGGCAGUAUUCCCCACGAUAUAUGCAUCAGCGGAGUACUCGAAUGGUUUACAGCACACAUCAAUCAGUUGACAGGCCCCAUGCCUAGAAGCUUGAGGAACUGCACCAGAUUAGUUAGAUUAAGGUUUGAGAGGAACCAGCUGACAGCAAACAUAGCUCUAGAGUUUGGCAUUUAUCCAAAACUAACUUAUUUCGAUUUGAGUUACAACAGAUUCUAUGGAGAGCUUUCAGAAAACUGGGAGCAGUGCCAAAGCUUACAAAGCUUGAGGCUCAGCAACAACAGAAUUUCCGGGGGGAUACCUCGGUUUGAGGGAUCAAUUCAGCUCCAUGUGCUUGACCUACCUUAGAAUAAUCUCACUGGGACAAUCCCAAAGGAACUAGGGAAUUUGACAUCCUUGUUCAACCUCAACCUAGGUGAUAACAAACUUUCGGGCAGCGUGCCUUCGGAGAUUGGAAUGCUUACCUAUCUACAACAUCUUAACUUAGCAGCAAAUGAUUUCAGUGGACAAAUUCCAGAAAAAUUAGACGGGUGCAGAGAGUUGUUGGACUAGAACUUGAGCAGAAACAGAUUUAGUGAGAGCAUUCCUCUUCAGAUUGGGAGCAUAAGCUCUCUUCAGGUUCUUGAUCUCAGUCAAAAUUCACUGAUGAGUGAAAUCCCACCACAGCUUGGAAAUUUGAUGAAGUUGGAAGCCUUGAAUAUCUCCCACAACAAUCUCUCUGGUUUGAUCACAUCUACAGUCGAUAACAUGUUGAGCUUGACAGUUGUUGACGUAUCAUACAAUCAUUUGGGGGGUCCUCUUCCCAACAACAAAGCAUUCCACGAGGCUUCUGUUCUAGCUUUUGCAAAUAACACAGGCUUGUGUGGCAAUGCCACAGGUCUGAAUGUUUGCCCGUCCAAAACAAGAAGGGAGAAAAAAAUCAGCAAAUCGGUUAUCUUCAUUGUACUCCAUGUUUUAGGCAUCCUGUUUUUUGCAUUUGUGGUAACUGGAAUUCUAUUUGUGGUCUGCUAUCCGCGGGAAGCGCAAUUAAAUGAAGACCAGUUUGCGGUUUGGAGCUAUGACGGAAGACUUGAGUAUGAAGACAUCAUUGAAUCUACAGAGGAAUUCAACUCCAAAUAUUGUGUGGGGGUGGGAGGUAAUGCAACUGUUUAUAAAGCUGAGCUGCCAACAGGCCGGAUUGUUGCAGUGAAGAAACAUCACAUGCCGCAGGACGGUGGAAUGGCAAAUCUCAAGGCUUUUGAGGGUGAGGUUCGUACUCUUUCAGAGGUUCGUCACAGAAACAUUUUGAAGCUUUAUGGUUUCUGUUCGCAUCCGCAGCACCCUCUUUUGUUGUACGAUUUCGUAGAAGGCGGAAGCUUGGAAAACAUACUGACCGAAGAAAACGAUGCAGUUAAGUUUGGAUGGAUUGAGAGGGUGAAUGUUGUAAAGGAUGUUGCUAAUGAAUUGUCUUAUAUGCACCAUGAUUGUUCACCUCUGAUAGUACAACGAGACAUUUCAAGCAAGAACAUCUUGCUGGAUUUGGAAUUGGAGCUUAUGCCUCUGAUUUUGGAACAGCUAAGCUCUUGAAUCUUGAGACUUCAAAUUGGACUUCUUUUGCAGGCACAUUCGGAUACAGUGAUCCAGAGUUAGCAUACACGAUGGAAACGAACAAGAAAUGUGAUGUUUACAGCUUUGGAGUGGUAGCACUAGAAGUGAUCAUGGGAAAGCAUCCCGGACUCCUCUCCUAUUUUUUUGUCAUUGUCAUUAACAUCAACACCCAAACCUAUACAACUGAAAGACGUCUUAGACAAGAGGCUCCCGCCUCCUGGAAAUCAUGUUGUUGA